rnacentral:rRNA from 1 species
GACGAACGCUGGCGGCGUGCCUAAUACAUGCAAGUCGUGCGAACCACUUCGGUGGUGAGCGGCGGACGGGUGAGUAACACGUGGGCAAUCUGCCCGACAGACCGGGAUAACGCUUGGAAACGAGUGCUAAUACCGGAUACGCUCUUGAAUCGCAUGGAUCGAGAGGGAAAGCUGCCUUUGCAGCACUGUCGCACGAGCCCGCGGCGCAUUAGCUAGUUGGUGAGGUAACGGCUCACCAAGGCGACGAUGCGUAGCCGACCUGAGAGGGUGACCGGCCACACUGGGACUGAGACACGGCCCAGACUCCUACGGGAGGCAGCAGUAGGGAAUCUUCCGCAAUGGGCGCAAGCCUGACGGAGCAACGCCGCGUGAGUGAUGAAGGCCUUCGGUUGUAAAACUCUGUCUUCUGUGAAGAACAAGCCUAUGAAGAGAAUGCUUAGGCCCUGACGGUAACAGAGGAGGAAGCCCCGGCUAACUACGUGCCAGCCGCCGCAGUAA